rnacentral:rRNA from 1 species
AAUGGGGGAACCCACUAGUUUGAAGAACUAGUAUCCAGUAAUGGAAGGUAUACGCGGUGAACUGAAACAUCUUAGUAACCGUAGGAAAAGAAAGCAAAAGCGAUUCUCUUAGUAGCGGCGAGCGAAAAGGGACCAGCCCAGUUAUAACAUUGGAGUUACAAAAUUUCAUGAUAGUUGAAGUGUGUGGGAAAGCACACCAUAGAAGGUGAGAGUCCUGUAAACGAAAUUGUGAAAUCUCCGUUAUACGAAGAGUACGGCGAGACACGAGUAAUCUUGUCGGAAUAUGCGAGGACCAUCUCGUAAGGCUAAAUACUACCAAUUGACCGAUAGUGAACCAGUACCGUGAGGGAAAGGUGAAAAGAACCGCGGGAGCGGAGUGAAAAGAUCCUGAAACCUUGUGCUUACAACAAGUUAGAGCCCGUUAAUGGGUGAUAGCGUGCCUUUUGUAGAAUGAACCGGCGAGUUACUAUAACAUGCAAGGUUAAACUUUGAGGAGUGGAGCCGUAGCGAAAGCGAGUCUUAACCGGCGAUAUUAGUAUGUUGUAGUAGACCCGAAACUGGGUGAGCUAGCCAUGAGCAGGUUGAAGUUGGGGUAAGACCCAAUGGAGGACCGAACCAGGACACGUUGAAAAGUGUUUGGAUGACUUGUGGCUAGAGGUGAAAUUCCAAUCGAACCCAGAUAUAGCUGGUUCUCACCGAAAUAGCUUUAGGGCUAGCGUUGUGAUUAAGUGGUAUGCAGGUAGAGCACUGAAUGGUUGAUGGUCCCAUCCCGGGAUACUGAUAUCAAUCAAACUCCGAAUGGCAUACUUACAUGCACAGCAGUCAGACUACGGGUGAUAAGGUCCGUGGUCGAGAGGGAAACAGCCCAGACCGCCAAUUAAGGUCCCUAAAUUCAUGUUAAGUGGAAAAGGAUGUGGAGUUGUUUAGACAACUAGGAGGUUGGCUUAGAAGCAGCCAUCCUUUAAAGAGUGCGUAAUAGCUCACUAGUCGAAUGAUUCUGCGCCGAAGAUGUACCGGGGCUAAACAUGGUACCGAAACUGCGGAUUCGCAUUUAUGCGAGUGGUAGGUGAGCGUUGUGAUUGCGGUGAAGUUAGACCGAGAGGACUAUUGGAGCGAUCACAAGUGAGAAUGCCGGUGUGAGUAAUGAAAAGUAGGGUGAGAAUCCCUACCGUCAAAAGUCUAAGGUUUCCAGAGGAAGGUUCGUCCGCUCUGGGUUAGUCUGGGCCUAAGGUGAGGCUGAAAAGCGUAGCCGAUGGAUAAAAGGUUGAUAUUCCUUUACCACUUUAUGAACUGAUGGAGUGACGGAGAAAGAUAGCGAAUGCCACUUAGUGGAUUGUGGUUUAAGCGUUUAGGCUAUGUUAUAGGUAAAUCCGUAACAUAUUAAGGCUGAGGCGUUAUGACGUAAGAUUUGUGAAUCUAUGCUUCCAAGAAAAGCUUCUAGGGUUAAUUUAUAGAGUGCCAGUACCGCAAACCGACACAGGUAGACGAGGAGAGAAUCUAAAGACGCGCGAGAUAACUCUUGUUAAGGAACUCGGCAAAAUGACCCCGUAACUUCGGGAUAAGGGGAGCUCUACAAUGUAGAGCCGCAGAGAAUAGGCCCAAGCGACUGUUUAUCAAAAACACAGCUCUAUGCUAAAUCGCAAGAUGAUGUAUAUGGGGUGACGCCUGCCCAGUGCUGGAAGGUUAAGAGGAGUGCUUAGCUUCGGCGAAGGUGCGAAUUGAAGCCCCAGUGAACGGCGGCCGUAACUAUAACGGUCCUAAGGUAGCGAAAUUCCUUGUCGGGUAAGUUCCGACCCGCACGAAAGG